UAGGGAAUCUUCCGCAAUGGGCGAAAGCCUGACGGAGCAACGCCGCGUGAGUGAUGAAGGUCUUCGGAUCGUAAAACUCUGUUAUUAGGGAAGAACAAAUGUGUAAGUAACUAUGCACGUCUUGACGGUACCUAAUCAGAAAGCCACGGCUAACUACGUGCCAGCAGCCGCGGUAAUACGUAGGUGGCAAGCGUUAUCCGGAAUUAUUGGGCGUAAAGCGCGCGUAGGCGGUUUUUUAAGUCUGAUGUGAAAGCCCACGGCUCAACCGUGGAGGGUCAUUGGAAACUGGAAAACUUGAGUGCAGAAGAGGAAAGUGGAAUUCCAUGUGUAGCGGUGAAAUGCGCAGAGAUAUGGAGGAACACCAGUGGCGAAGGGGACUUUCUGGUCUGUAACUGACGCUGAUGUGCGAAAGCGUGGGGAUCAAACAGG
rnacentral:rRNA from 1 species